rnacentral:lncRNA from 13 species
CCUAGCCAAUGUUGCUGUUGGAAACUUUGUGAAACAUAAAAUGUGUCAGUUGUUAAAGAAGCAGAAAUGACAUGAACAUUAGAAGUAACAUUAUUAACAUCUCCUUCAUCUCCUUGCAGUGAAUUACCCUCGCCUGGCUUCUGCCUCAUCUGUUCCAUACCAAAUUAUAUCUACACGGUUCCUGCUGUCACAUACCUGCCUCAGGGUUCAAAAUGG